GAAGAAGGGUUUCGGCUCGUAAAGCUCUGUUGUUGGAGAAGAACGUGCGUGAGAGUAACUGUUCACGCAGUGACGGUAUCCAACCAGAAAGUCACGGCUAACUACGUGCCAGCAGCCGCGGUAAUACGUAGGUGGCAAGCGUUAUCCGGAUUUAUUGGGCGUAAAGCGAGCGCAGGCGGUUGCUUAGGUCUGAUGUGAAAGCCUUCGGCUUAACCGAAGAAGUGCAUCGGAAACCGGGCGACUUGAGUGCAGAAGAGGACAGUGGAACUCCAUGUGUAGCGGUGGAAUGCGUAGAUAUAUGGAAGAACACCAGUGGCGAAGGCGACUGUCUGGUCUGCAACUGACGCUGAGGCUCGAAAGCAUGGGUAGCGAACAGGAUUAGAUACCCUGGUAGUCCAUGCCGUAAACGAUGAGUGCUAGGUGUUGGAGGGUUUCCGCCCUUCAGUGCCGGAGCUAACGCAUUAAGCACUCCGCCUGGGGAGUACGACCGCAAGGUUGAAACUCAAAGGAAUUGACGGGGGCCCGCACAAGCGGUGGAGCAUGUGGUUUAAUUCGAAGC
rnacentral:rRNA from 1 species